rnacentral:snRNA from 1 species
GUGCUUACUUUGUAGCACACAUACUUACUAAAAUUGGAAUGAUACAGAGGUUAACAUUGGCUCCUACAUAAGCAUAGCAUGCAAAUUUGUGAAUCAUUCUAUGUUUAG